GCUCACAUUUGACAUCAUGCUGAUAAUCUUCAUUUUCAUCAUCGCUCUAUCCUGUGUGAGUGGAGUGACUGUAGUGACCCAGAAUCCUCCAGAACUUCCAGUGAAUAAAGGAGAAAAAGUCACAAUGAGCUGUAAUCUGGGAUCAGUUACUGAAUCAGAUGCUAGAUGGUAUAAACAGACUCCAGGAGGAGUUCCUCAGCAUGUGUUGAGAUUUUAUCACGAAUGGGGCUCACCUUCUUAUGGAUCUGGUUUCUCUGCUCCUAAAUUCACAUCAACACAUUCAUCUAAAUCAGAUUAUAGUUUGAUCAUCAAUAAUGUGGAUGAGAGAGAUUCAGCAGUGUAUUACUGUAUGAUAUACAGUACAGUACUUCAACCUCCAACUUGCUCGCAUCACAUUUGACAUCAUGCUGAUAAUCUUCAUUUUCUUCAUCAUUACCUUAGAUAAUAAAAUACAGUUAAAAAAUGCAAAUGAAUUAUUACAUUUAAAAAAAAAUGUUUUUUUUAUCUUAAUUAAAAAAAUAUUAAUAACCUAGUUCUGUUUGUCAUUUUGAUCUGUAGCUUCUGUUUAAUAAACAAACAAACUGGUUUCAA